ACGUGCGAUCGAAACGGAAGGAUCGGAACGAAAGCACACCACAGGUGCAGAAAUUGAAAGUUUAAUUAAACCGAAUAGAUCGGUAACAAACGAAACGAAAAGAAACAUUUUGUUUCCCUUCUCGUUUCGAGCUGUAGAAUAUAAGGUGCGGCGCGGAACGGCACGUCAUUUAUUUUUGCUCGCCUCCAUCAUAUCUGUCAUAAAAAUAUUUCUGCCGUAACGGAUAGGACGUACCAAGAGAAAAACGCGUUCUCGUUCAACAAUACCUGAUAUUUGCUCGACUGUUUCCAGUAAAUUAAAACAGGAAUAUCGGUGAAGAGAUAGAUAUACUAAUUAAACGUGAACGACCAUCGAGAAUACGGCGUCUUGAAACGACAGAACGAAAGAAAGAAGGAGGUUGUUCCUCCGGGAGAAGAAGAAGUUAUCGUAAUAAAAAUGGAGAAAAGGUACAACGAAGUAGCCUCUCUUUAUGCAAUUUAGCGAGACCAUUCGUUCCACUCGAUUCAAGUGGAAGUGUAAAGUGCUCGACCGACCGGUAC
rnacentral:misc_RNA from 1 species